rnacentral:rRNA from 1 species
AUUGAACGCUGGCGGCAGGCCUAACACAUGCAAGUCGAGCGGAUGAAGGGAGCUUGCUCCUUGAUUCAGCGGCGGACGGGUGAGUAAUGCCUAGGAAUCUGCCUGGUAGUGGGGGACAACGUUUCGACAGGAACGCUAAUACCGCAUACGUCCUACGGGAGAAAGCAGGGGACCUUCGGGCCUUGCGCUAUCAGAUGAGCCUCGGUCGGAUUAGCUAGUAGGUGAGGUAAUGGCUCACCUAGGCGACGAUCCGUAACUGGUCUGAGAGGAUGAUCAGUCACACUGGAACUGAGACACGGUCCAGACUCCUACGGGAGGCAGCAGUGGGGAAUAUUGGACAAUGGGCGAAAGCCUGAUCCAGCCAUGCCGCGUGUGUGAAGAAGGUCUUCGGAUUGUAAAGCACUUUAAGUUGGGAGGAAGGGCAGUAAGUUAAUACCUUGCUGUUUUGACGUUACCGACAGAAUAAGCACCGGCUAACUCUGUGCCAGCAGCCGCGGUAACAC